rnacentral:rRNA from 1 species
UGAGUAACGCGUGGGAAUCUACCUUGUAGUGGGGAAUAGCCUUUCGAAAGAGAGGGUAAUACCGCAUGUUUCCAAAUUUAUUUGGAAAAAGACUUCGGUCGCUAUAAGAGGAGCCCGCGUCCUAUCAGGUAGUUGGUGGGGUAAUAGCCUACCAAGCCAAUGACGGGUAGCCGGUGUGAGAGCACGACCGGCCACAAGGUCACUGAAACACGGGGCCUACACCUACGGGUGGCAGCAACCGGGAAUAUUGCGCAAUGGGCGAAAGCCUGACGCAGCGACACCGCGUGUGGGAAGAAGCUUUUCGGAGUGUAAACCACUGUGGCAAGGGAAGAAUUUUUGACGGUACCUUGCUAGAAAGCACCUGCUAACUACGUGCCAGAAGCCUCGGUAAUACGUAGGGUGCAAGCGUUAUCCGGAUUUAUUGGGCGUAAAGAGUUCCGCAGGCGUCUUUACAAGUUUCUUGUUUAAGCCUGAGGCUCAACUUCAGAAAAGCAAGAAAAACUGUAAAGAUUGAGUUUGUUUGGGGAAGCUGGAAUUCUCGGUGGAGGGGUGAAAUCCGUAGAUAUCGAGAGGAACACCAAUCGCGAAGGCAAGCUUCUAAAACAAUACUGACGCUAAGGGACGAAAGCUUGGGUAGCAAAAGGGACUAGAGACCCCUGUAGUCCAAGCCGUAAACUUUCCUCGCUAGUUGCCUGGUUAAU